GAUGAACGCUAGCGGCAGGCUUAAUACAUGCAAGUCGAGGGGCAGCGCGGGUAGCAAUACCUGGCGGCGACCGGCAAACGGGUGCGGAACACGUACGCAACCUUCCCGAAACUGGUGAAUAGCCCUCCGAAAGGAGGAUUAAUACACCGUAAGAUAACGAAGAGGCAUCUCUUUGUUAUUAUAGCUACGGCGGUUUUGGAUGGGCGUGCGCCUGAUUAGGUAGUUGGCGGGGUAACGGCCCACCAAGCCUACGAUCAGUAACUGGUGUGAGAGCACGACCAGUCACACGGGCACUGAGACACGGGCCCGACUCCUACGGGAGGCAGCAGUAAGGAAUAUUGGUCAAUGGACGCAAGUCUGAACCAGCCAUGCCGCGUGAAGGAUGAAGGUCCUCUGGAUUGUAAACUUCUUUUAUAUGGGACGAAAAAGGGUUUUCUAACUCACUUGACGGUACCAUAGGAAUAAGCACCGGCUAACUCCGUG
rnacentral:rRNA from 1 species